AAAAUAUUUUAGUCACAUGUCUUAAAUUAAACAUAAUAUUAUGAUUUAUAUGUUCUAUGGUGCUAUCUAUACUAAGUUUAGCUACUAAUGAACCUGCAAGCGUUAUUAGAUUGUUUUUAAUAAUAUUAUAUGUACAUUUUUUUAUGCAUUGCAGAUCACAAAGAUUUCUGUAGAAAAACAUACGUUUUAUCAAUAUACCGCACGGACUAAGAUAGACUCUAUCUAUAUAUAAGUUCUAUGGAUUUAUCAAAUUUAAUAAUAUAUUUUAUAAUAUCUAUGGCAAUCGUCAAUUGUCAAAAUUUUUCGGCGACGAUUAACAAUUCUAUUAAUUUCAGCAAAUACUAUUGUAUUAUAAGUAUAAUAUAAUAUUGUAUUUGAUUUGAGUGAACAAAAAAAUAAUUAGCAAUCAAUAUAGACGGACAGUUCGUUGAGCCGUAUAUAUCACGAUUUUCAGUUCGGAGCGAGAUGAAGAUGGAUGAAGAUAACUGUUUCUUCGGCGACGGUGGCACUGUAGCUAUAUAGGUUUCACCGGAAGAGUCGAUGUUUACGCAAAUGGUAUUCGUCAGUGAAGAUUUUCAACUGGGAAUAAUAUAUAUCAUAAGCAGACUGAAAUGUGCGAACGUUGCAGUGUUUCGAAGACUCAAGUUUUAUAGCAGAUUUUCAUUCGGACACGGGGUAUGUAUUUACUUAUUUUUCAGUAGGUUUCUUUUUAUUAUUGUUAAUUGAUCAGGGGAUGUGUUGCUCACAAUUUUUCAAUUAUUUGUGCUGUAACUAUACUGGUAUAACACUAUUCUGGCUAUCAAUAAAGUCGUGAUAAAAAUUAGGAAAAUUUUGAUAUUUUUUUGUUAUGUAAUUCUUUUGGGUAGAUAAUUGGCUCAAUGAUAUUUAAAUAUUUUCACCGAUGAUCAAGUACAAUGACUUGUAUGUGACUAGAGACUGAGUGAAUAGGAAUUAGGAAGUAUAUGAUAUGGCGAGGAUAAGGAAAGAGGUCAACAGGAUUUCAGAAUGUUUCGCGUAUGAAAGGAAAAGACGAAAAAAAAUGUAAGGUAUGGUUAGGUUAGCGGAUUGUGUUUAGCAGAUAUGAGAAUAUUAAGUUGGGUGUGUAUGGGGCAAAAGAAGAUGUAAUAGGAAAUUUAUUAAUUAAAGGAAGUGUAGUGUUGUGGAGAGGCAUAUAUGUACUGUAGUGAAUAUAAGAGAGAUUAGAUUGAGGUAGACCGAAGUCACUGUAUGAUAAGGGUAUAGUGAGAGCGAAUAAAGAAGUAAAUGUAGAGGGAAAGUGAAGGUUGAGAAGACUUAAAAAGAGAUGGAUAGACAGAAUACCCAUCAUAUAUGAAAGUGUGGAAAGAGGGUGGCUGACUCUGUAUAGUUGUGUGAGAAGGGGGAAGAAGGACUUGAAGGAGUGUGAAGGGCCAAUAGUUAGGUUAACAAUGUCGAAUAUGUAGGAAAGAAUCUUGAAUUGCAAAGGCCACUCGACUCUUUGUCUGAAACUACCAAGUUGAUAUAGUUAUUAGGACACUUUGAAUAAAAAGAUCCUGAGUUGGUUGCCUAAAUUCAGUGUUUGAUUAUCAAGUUGAUCUUUUGAUUGUAGACACCUUAAGCUUAGAUCAAUUAAUACUAUAGAUGGAGCCAUACCUAGCUCACUCGUAUAAACAAUUUGAAGCACAUAAUAUAUGCCACGAGUCUCUGACAUUUUUAUGGAUACAUAUCAAUUCACAUAGAUAAAUAUGAGACAUUUCUCUUCGCGUACGUAUCUUAGUCAGAUACUUGUCGCUAAUAUGUGCUUUAAAUUAUCUGAAUAUGGGCCCAUUCGUAGUAUAUGAUCUAAGAUUAGGUUAAUAAUAAUAACUGUGAUCACAACUUGAAAGUAUAAUUGGAUGUUAAUUGUAAAAGUUAUAAGUAUUAAUGAUUUAUCAGCAUGUAUCGAAUUCGUCUUACAAGUUACAAGUGUGUAUCAGUUUCAGCAGAUCU